rnacentral:lncRNA from 1 species
CCCAACAUACUAUUCAUCCACUGGAUUUCUUCUCUAUUUGUUGAAAAAAUUCUAUUGUGUGAUGACAGCUUCUUGGAAUCUAAUCCUAUCUUAUAAUUUUUGGAAGAAGAUGAUGGUGCGGUAUGAAGUAUAUACCAGACACUCUACUACAAGUAUAUUACAAAUGUUUUCUCCCCCUCCUACAUUCAACCCCUAGGGGUAUUUAUACACUUUCCUACUGGACCGGGUCUUCUUUCACUGGUCAAGUGGGCUUGCUGGGCCUGGUCUGAUGGACCAGGGGUAUCAUCAGUACUCCCCCCUUCCGCAGCCUGUAAAUUCUUCUUUUCUUUACUUUUCUUGAAUUUUUCUGAACUCAACAUGUCUUCGCCCUAUGUUAUUGGAGGAGCUUGGCCGCAACCUAGUACACCAACAAGCUGCUUGGUCCGAAAGUCUUAUUCUCCGCAGGGAAGAAGCUCACGCCCUUGCUGUUGCCGAGAGACACCGCCUUAACUCUUUGCUUCUAGCUGUUCAAUGUCGCCUUUUUGUUCUUUGCCAAGUUGAAAAUGAUGUUGUGAUUGAGUUCCGUGUCGCUCCGGGUGGUAUCCAUGUAACUCCUGCCGUUGAUCCUGUCUCUGACGACCGCUCUGUUGUUUCUUCUAUUGUUUGACGUUGCCGAGGACGCAGACAGCAUGCUGAUCAUGCGUUCCCUGCCCCCCCUCCGAGUGGUAUUAUGAGCGGGACAUGCUGAUCCUUACUUUUUCCCCUGUCUUUACAGAAUCUCCUUAUUUUUUCCCCUGUGAACUGCGUUCCAUUAUCUGUUACUUUUGCCCUAAGGCUUUUUCAUUUUGGUGGGAGACCUUAUUUGGUCUUCUGACUUUACUGCCCUAAGGCUUUUUUCCUUACAGAAUUUCCUUACUUUUUCCCCUGUCUUUACAGAAUCUCCUUAUUUUUUCCCCUGUGAACUGCGUUCCAUUAUCUGUUACUUUUGCCCUAAGGCUUUUUCAUUUUGGUGGGAGACCUUAUUUGGUCUUCUGACCUUACUGCCCUAAGGCUUUUUUCCUUACAGAAUUUCCUUACUUUUUCCCCUGUCUUUACAGAAUCUCCUUAUUUUUUCCCCUGUGAACUGCGUUCCAUUAUCUGUUACUUUUCCCCUAAGGCUUUUUCAUUUUGGCGGGAGGCCUUAUUUGGUCUUCUGACCUUACUGCCCUAAGGCUUUUUUCCUUACAGAAUUUCCUUACUUUUUCCCCUGUCUUUACAGAAUCUCCUUAUUUUUUCCCCUGUGAACUGCGUUCCAUUAUCUGUUACUUUUGCCCUAAGGCUUUUUCAUUUUGGCGGGAGNNNNNNNNNNNNNNNNNNNNNNNNNNNNNNNNNNNNNNNNNNNNNNNNNNNNNNNNNNNNNNNNNNNNNNNNNNNNNNNNNNNNNNNNNNNNNNNNNNNNAAUCUCCUUAUUUUUUCCCCUGUGAACUGCGUUCAAUUAUCUGUUACUUUUGCCCUAAGGCUUUUUCAUUUUGGCGGGAGGCCUUAAUUGGUCUUCUGACCUUACUGCCCUAAGGCUUUUUUCCUUACAGAAUUUCCUUACUUUUUCCCCUGUCUUUACAGAAUCUCCUUAUUUUUUCCCCUGUGAACUGCGUUCAAUUAUCUGUUACUUUUGCCCUAAGGCUUUUUCAUUUUGGUGGGAGACCUUAUUUGGUCUUCUGACUUUACUGCCCUAAGGCUUUUUUCCUUACAGAAUUUCCUUACUUUUUCCCCUGUCUUUACAGAAUCUCCUUAUUUUUUCCCCUGUGAACUGCGUUCCAUUAUCUGUUACUUUUGCCCUAAGGCUUUUUCAUUUUGGCGGGAGGCCUUAAUUGGUCUUCUGACCUUACUGCCCUAAGGCUUUUUUCCUUACAGAAUUUCCUUACUUUUUCCCCUGUCUUUACAGAAUCUCCUUAUUUUUUCCCUGUGAACUGCGUUCCAUUAUCUGUUACUUUUGCCCUAAGGCUUUUUCAUUUUGGCGGGAGGCCUUAUUUGUUAAUUGAUAUGAAAACACAUGAAAAUAGAAGAAAUCAAAGUAAUACAAAAAAUAGAAGAAAACGAAGGAAACAGAAAAAUAA